rnacentral:lncRNA from 1 species
CCGUGGGCAACGCCAGCGGCCCCGUCCUCGUCUCCUGGCCGGGGGGGCCCAGACCCCAGCAGGUGCUGGGGCUGGGGGGCAGCACAGAGCUGCUCAUCAGCCCCGCGGGCAUCGCCGGGGGCACCGGGGGGCUCUGCGAGGUGCGCUUCAAUGCCUCCGGUCCCCCCGUCCGCAGGAGCGUGGAGCUGCACGGGGCCAAGGGGAGAGCUGACGUACGCCCAGCUCCGCUUCGCCACCCCAGCGAGGGCAGCGCCGUGACCCACGGGGCUGGGCCCCAAGGCCUCGGUGGCGGCGCCGUGCAGCCCUGGGAGGCUGCGGCUGCCCCGGCCGCCGGGACAGCGGGGAGGAAGGAACGGGACCGAACCUCCAAGGAGGGGGCUCGAAGGAGCAGUGAAUGACGGGAGAGGACCUCAAAUGUGGCGUUAAUAAAGAGAUUGAAACUAAAAUGAGGAGUAAAUCG